GCGAAUUCUAGAGUCCGCACUCCGUCCGCACCGUAUUUACUUCCGUCAAUGUUUCAGCUCGGCAGGUAGCAGAUGCCAGAGGCAGAGGUGGAAGAAAGGCGAAACCACAAAGGAGUCGUUUGCCUGUCAAGGUAUAAUGCCUUUCUUGGGCAAGGACUGGAGGUCGCCAGGACUGAGCUGGACAAAGACAGAACAGGGCUGGAAGAGUACUGUCUUCUACGGACACGAGCUGGAGGAUAACAACAGAGAGAUAGACUUGACCGAGCUCUGCAGUGACAACAAAGAAAAUCUGUUUGUCGGAGAUUUGUGCGAGCUCACCACAACAAAGAGGAAAAAGGACUUCUACAACAAUAACACCAAAUCUCAGUUCAUCUUCAGCGAUAAAUGGAUCUAUGUGCACAGAGGGAGCACAAAGGAACGACACGGGUACUGCACGCUAGGAGAAGCGCUCAACCGUCUAGACUUUUCCAGUGCCAUCCAAGACUUGAGAAGAUUCAACUAUGUCGCAAAACUUUUCCAGCUAAUAGCCAGAUAUCAACUGCGUUCUUUGAGUGGAGCUGCCCAGAAAAACUAUUUCAAUAUACUGGAAAAGAUUGUACGAAAGGUCCUUGAGGACCACUACAAUCCUCGCCUGGUCAAAGAGCUACUGCAGGACUUGAGCAUGACUUUGCACAAUCUGACUGUCCAUGUCGGCAGGAGCGUCCUCGUGGGCAACAUCAACAUCUGGUUGUGCCGACUGGAGAACAUCUUCAAGUGGCAGCAGCAGCUCAACAGCCUGCAGAUCCCCAAGGUAGAGGAAGUGGAUCGUUGUAUUUGUGUCAAAUGUCCAAUGGCAUGUCAUUCAACGACUUGCCAAUAUACAUGCAGAACCACAUCCUUUACAAGUUUUCCGAUGCAUAUGACAUCAUUAACCUGGGAAAGGCCACGCCCACGCUGCACAUCCUCAGCGAGGACCCGAUGCUGUGGAAAAGACUGUGCCACUUUCACUUCUCAGACAAGCAGCAGUUCUGUAGGAAUUUGGUCCUGACCACGAGUGACAACGUGGACUGGAAGCUGAUGUACUUCACUCUGCAGAAACACUACCCCAUGAAGGAGCAGUACGGUGACACCUUGCACUUCUGCAAACACUGUAGCAUCCUCUUCUGGAAGGACUGUGGCCAUCCGUGCACAGCCAAUGAUCCAGACAGUUGCCUCAUGCCAAUCUCUCCGCAGCACUUUAUUGACCUCUUCAAGUUUUAAACCCUCUGUGUUGUUCUUCUUGUGAAGCGUCUCUUCGUAAAAAAAAAACCAAGAGUGUGUACAAGGCUUUUUACAGAAAUACAAAGGGCUUCAAAUGAAAGAAUUGUCUUUUUUAAUGUCUACUCUUCCUUACGCACAAAUGUUUCCAUAAGACAAAAGGAAGGUGAAAUGUGUCUGUUUGUUGAUUUUUAGAAUAACAGGUGAAAUAUAAGAGAAACUCGUUUUUCCUCUUUCCACGUUUGUCUUCUUGAAAAAAAACAGCUCCUGACAGAGAAAAGAAAAACUAAAAUGUAAAUGUAAUGAGUAUUGUGAAAUGGGAUUAUAUGUAAAAGGGGUUGUAGCAUGUUUACAGUAGGUAAGUGGUGGUAAGUAAGUUUUAGUUUCUUUUAAGAAAAAGUCACUAUUUACAGUGUGACAGAAUAAGAUGACCCCUGGUGAUGGUUUAUUUAUGAGGUUAGACUAUUCUGCUCUUUCCCCUGUUUUGCUUCGGUGGCAUUUGUCCUGCAAUAACCGAAUGCAUGUCUUGUUUGAGUCUCUGUUUACAUACUGUAUGUUUUCCUUUGUGAAUUCUUGCUGUGCGUAUAUUAAAAACCGACUAAAAGGAACUAGUGUUUAAAAAAAAUUGCUGUAAAAAAAUUUGUACGGUUAACCUACUUUUAUCAAAUCUGUCAAGUGACUGACAGAAAAAAAAGUAAAACUUUAUUUACGUGGGGAAAUUUUUUUUUAUCCUUCCUCUGACUUUUGUAAUAAUCCUUUACUGUUGAACUGCUCUUUAUGGUACUAUAAUGACUUUCAUGGGAAGAAGUAGUUCAUGAAAACAAUUAAAUAUUUCUAAAAAAAACUGCCUCUGCUCUUAUUUUUAUUUUGGGUUAUGGGAAAUAGGUUGAAGGUGUUUUUGGGGCCUCCUGGAUAUAGUUGUAUAUCCUCCAUCAAUUUUGCGGAAAAGUGUCAACGAACAAGAGCAAAAUGUUAUGAUUUAUUUUCUUUCUAUUACGCUCAAGUAUAAUUUUCCUCUAACCUAAAAGGCAAUAGGAAUGUGAUGGGUAGUACUUUGGAAAAUAAAAUACAGUAAAAUUAUGGAUUUAA